rnacentral:rRNA from 1 species
CCUACGGGAGGCAGCAGUGGGGAAUAUUGCGCAAUGGGCGAAAGCCUGAUGCAGCGACGCCGCGUGAGGGAUGAAGGUCUUCGGAUCGUAAACCUCUGUCAGCAGGGAAGAACGGUCGCUGUGCUAAUCAGCAGUGAAUUGACGGUACCUGCACAUGAAGCACCGGCUAACUCCGUGCCAGCAGCCGCGGUAAUACGGAGGGUGCGAGCGUUAAUCGGAAUUACUGGGCGUAAAGCGCUCGUAGGCGGUAUGUCAAGUCAAGGGUGAAAUCCCCGCGCUCAACGUGGGAACUGCCUUUGAAACUGGCAAACUGGAGUGUGUGAGAGGAGAGUGGAAUUCCAGGUGUAGGGGUGAAAUCCGUAGAUAUCUGGAGGAACAUCAGUGGCGAAGGCGACUAUCUGGCACAUAACUGACGCUGAGGAGCGAAAGCGUGGGUAGCAAACAGGAUUAGAUACCCCUGUAGUC